rnacentral:rRNA from 1 species
UACGGAGGGUGCGAGCGUUAUCCGGAAUUACUGGGUUUAAAGGGCGCGUAGGCGGCUAAGUAAGUCAGGGGGGAAAGUUUGCGGCUCAACCGUAAAAUUGCUUUUGAUACUGCAUAGCUAGAAUUAGGAUGAGGUCAGCGGAAUGUGGCAUGUAGCGGUGAAAUGCAUAGAUAUGCCAUAGAACACCAAUUGCGAAGGCAGCUGGCUAGACCUGGAUUGACGCUGAGGCACGAAAGCGUGGGGAGCGAACAGG